rnacentral:rRNA from 1 species
CAGUAGCCGCGGUAAUACAGAGGGUGCGAGCGUUAAUCGGAUUUACUGGGCGUAAAGCGUGCGUAGGCGGCUUCUUAAGUCGGAUGUGAAAUCCCUGAGCUUAACUUAGGAAUUGCAUUCGAUACUGGGAAGCUAGAGUAUGGGAGAGGAUGGUAGAAUUCCAGGUGUAGCGGUGAAAUGCGUAGAGAUCUGGAGUAAUACCGAUGGCGAAGGCAGCCAUCUGGCCUAAUACUGACGCUGAGGUACGAAAGCAUGGGGAGCAAACAGGAUUAGAUACCCCCGUAGUCCCUGUCUCUUAUAC